rnacentral:rRNA from 1 species
AUUGCGCAAUGGGGGAAACUCUGACGCAGUGACGCCGCGUAUAGGAAGAAGGUUUUCGGAUUGUAAACUAUUGUCAUUAGGGAAGAAAAAAGGCAGUACCUAAAGAGGAAGCUCCGGCUAACUACGUGCCAGCCGCCGCGGUCAUACGUAGGGAGCAAGCGUUAUCCGGAAUUACUGGGUGUAAAGGGUGCGUAGACGGGAAAAUAAGUUAGUUGUGAAAUCCCUCGGCUCAACUGAGGAACUGCAACUAAAACUGUAAUUCUUGAGUGCAGGAGAGGAAAGUGGAAUUCCUAGUGUAGCGGUGAAAUGCGUAGAUAUUAGGAGGAACACCAGUGGCGAAGGCGACUUUCUGGACUGUAACUGACGUUGAGGCACGAAAGUGUGGGGAGCAAGCAGG